AUACGUAGGGGGCGAGCGUUGUCCGGAAUGAUUGGGCGUAAAGGGCGCGUAGGCGGCCCGGUAAGUCUGGAGUGAAAGUCCUGUUUUUAAGAUGGGAAUUGCUUUGGAUACUGUCGGGCUUGAGUGCAGGAGAGGUAAGUGGAAUUCCCAGUGUAGCGGUGAAAUGCGUAGAGAUUGGGAGGAACACCAGUGGCGAAGGCGACGUACUGGACUGUAACUGACGCUGAGGCGCGAAAGUGUGGGGAGCAAACAGGAUUAGAUACCCUGGUAGUCCACGCUGUAAACGAUGAAUACUAGGUGUGGGGGGACUGACCCCCUCCGUGCCGCAGUUAACACAAUAAGUAUUCCACCUGGGGAGUACGAUCGCAAGAUUGAAACUUAAAGGAAUUGACGGGG
rnacentral:rRNA from 1 species